GAGAUGGAGUCUUGCUCUGUUGCCCAGGCUUGGAGUGCAGUGGCACCAUCUUGGCUCACUGCAAGCUCCGCCUCCUGGGUUCAUGCCAUUCUCCUGCCUCAGCUUCCCAAGUAACUACAGGUGCCCUCCACCAUGCCCGGCUAAUUUUUGUAGUUUUGGUUGAGACGGGUUUCACCAUGUUGGCCAGGCUGGUCUCGAACUCCUUACCUCAGGUGAUUUGCCCGCCUCAGCUUUCCAAAGUUCUGGGAUUACAGGCAUAAGCCACUGCGCCCGGCCUCGUGUUUUUUUGAGAUGGAGUCUCACUCUGCUGCCCAGGCUGGAGUGCAAUGGCACGAUCUCGGCUCACCGCAACCUCCACCUCCUGGGUUUAAGUAAUUCUCCUGCCUCAGCCUCCUGAGUAGCUAGAACCACAGGCACGCACCACCAUGGCUAAUUUUUGAAUUUUCAGUAGAGACGGAGUUUCACCAUGUUGGCCAGGCUGGUCUCGAACUCCUGACCUCAAGUGAUCCACCUGUCUCGGCCUCUCAAGAGUGCAGGGAUUACAAGAGCUUGAGGCUGUAGUGAGCUGUCAUUGUACCACUGCACUCUGGCCUGAGCAACAGAGCAAGACUCUGUCGCUAAAAAAAAAAAAAGAAAAAAGAGGCCGGGCAUGGUGGCUCACGCCUGUAAUCCCAGCACUUUGGGAGGCUGAGGCGGGCAGAUCACCUGAGGUCAGGAGUUGAAGACCAGCCUGACCAACAUGGAGAAACCCCGUCUCUACUAAAAAUACAAAAUUAGCCGGGCAUGGUGGCACAUGCCUGUAACCCCAGCUACUCAGGAGGCUGAGGCAGGAGAAUCGCUUGAACCCAGGAGGCGGAGGUUGAGGUGAGCCCAGAUUGUGCCAUUGCACUCCAGCCGGGGUGAGAGAGCAAGACUCUGUCUGGAAAAAAAAAAGAAAAAAA
rnacentral:lncRNA from 10 species